CCGCAAGGCACUUGAAGAUGAGCCCGCGUAAGAUUAGCUAGUUGGCGAGGUAACGGCUCACCAAGGCGAUGAUCUUUAGCUGGUCUGAGAGGAUGAUCAGCCACACUGGAACUGAGACACGGUCCAGACUCCUACGGGAGGCAGCAGUAGGGAAUAUCGCGCAAUGGGGGAAACCCUGACGCAGCGACGCUGCGUGAGUGAUGAAGGCCUUCGGGUCGUAAAGCUCUGUUAUAUGGGAAUAAGAUCUG
rnacentral:rRNA from 1 species